AUGGCCUCUCCAUCUUCAUUUUUUUUCCUAAAAGAAGAGACUUUCUCCACAAAUAGAAUGACCAAAGGUCCCUAAAGCAUGCCAGUAGUGCUUUUUUUCCUUCCUUUGGAAGUCGAGUCCUAUCAUGACUCCAUCCCCAUCUCUCUCUCUUUCUCUCUUUUAGGAUAAUAUAAGGAAAGAGACUUCCUCUAUAGGCAUUAUUGAUUGGAGGGGG
rnacentral:lncRNA from 1 species